rnacentral:rRNA from 1 species
GAUGAACGCUGGCGGCGUGCCUAAUACAUGCAAGUCGAGCGAACAGACGAGGAGCUUGCUCCUCUGACGUUAGCGGCGGACGGGUGAGUAACACGUGGAUAACCUACCUAUAAGACUGGGAUAACUUCGGGAAACCGGAGCUAAUACCGGAUAACAUGUUGAACCGCAUGGUUCAACAGUGAAAGACGGUCUUGCUGUCACUUAUAGAUGGAUCCGCGCCGCAUUAGCUAGUUGGUAAGGUAACGGCUUACCAAGGCAACGAUGCGUAGCCGACCUGAGAGGGUGAUCGGCCACACUGGAACUGAGACACGGUCCAGACUCCUACGGAAGGCAGCAGUGGGGAAUAUUCCGCAAUGGGCGAAAGCCUGACGAAACAACGCCGCGUGAGUGAAGAAGGUCUUCGGAUCGUAAGACUCUGUUAUUAGGGAAGAACAAAUGUGUAAGUAACUAUGCACGUCUUGACGGUACCUAAUCAGAAAGCCCCGGCUAACUACGUG